GUACAUUGGGUUUGACAUUGCAAACAGACUAAUGAAGGUAAACACUUAAUUUUAAGAAAACUUUCUUUUGGUGGUGACGGGUGGAUUUCAGCUACCUUUCUCACUAGUCUUUCUUGGAAUGCUUGUAAUUUUUUUUUUAUACAAAGAUUUUUUUUGCAAAUGAUGUGCAUAAAGACUAUUUUAUACCUCCUAUUAUUUUUAUUUAUUUUUACAGCAGGCUCUAAUGGCAUGGUUUUGUCUGUUUAUGUAGCUCAGAUCUUUAGAGACUGAGAUAGAUGAGAAACUGUGCGUUUGAGAUCAGGACUAGGGCUGUUGGCCUGAACUUUGCUAUUGGAAUUGAACAGGUUUAAGGGAAUAUGGAGUGAACUGACCACCAUCAUUUUAACAUUAGAUAAGAGCAGAGAGGAUUACCCUAAAGUGUUCCUCUUCCCGAGUUACCGUCAUUGUAUUCUCACCCAGUAUUCUCUGUCUUCCUCUUUCACUGUAUUGGCCACACCCCCAGAAAACUGUUAUUAUGACCAUUUGUUCAUCCUAUAUGACAGUGAGAGAAAUUACAUUUACAUGUCUAACUGUCCAAGCAGUAUGCAGUACUGUCUAAGCACAACUAUGCAUAUGCAUUAAAGCAAUACAGUAGUGCUGGUCAGAGACUUUUCUGAUUAGGAUAAAGUCAAUCUUUCCAUUUCUACCACAAACUUACCAGCAGGCUGAUUAAAACAAAGGCAAGACAGUUAGGGACACAAUCAAGAAGUUUUUUUCUUUUUGAAACACUGUUUUGAUCACUGAGGGGCAACGUCUGACUGAGAUGGAUGUAAGGUGUGACAUUUGUCGCAUAAUUGAAAUACCAUUUCUCUUUCUUUAAACCCUCAUAAUGUCUAAAGUGUUCCCCUCACUGCACUGAAUACAUAUUUCUGCCAAACUGGAUAUGAAAUGGAUAAACUAAACCUACAUAGCCAGUAUAGUGUUGUAAUGACAAAGCAUUUAUGUUACAACAGCAAUGAAUGAGUGGGCUCUUUCUGUUCUUUGUGUGUGUGUGUGUGUGUGUGUGUGUGUGUGUGUGUGUGUGUGUGUGUGUGCAUGCAUACAUUUGUCUGACUUGUCUUUGUUAACACUGAAGAUUGUUACUUUUUGGAACUACAGAGUGAUUAAAAUAUGUGUCGCCCAAAGUAGCUUCUGAACCCACGCAGGCUCAUUGGUGACCUAACUCUCUUGGUUUGUUUGCACAAUAUAGCAGUAGAUGGAGAGAGACUAAUCCGAUGAAAUAACAA